rnacentral:lncRNA from 1 species
UUCUUGGCUAAGAAGAUGCCAUAUUUAUGGACUAACUUUAUUUAUAAUGAUCAUUUAUGUAAAAAAAUGACUUCCUGAAGUUUCCUUUGGGGUAUUUCCAUAGGUCAACAGUAUCAUAAAAAACAGAGUUAGUAUUAAAAUAUGUAAGCUGGUAAAUAAGUAGCCUUAAGAAUGGGUGCCCAGUUGGGACUCAGAUGCCUUAUAUUCUAUCCUAUACUGCAUUAUAAAUUUCUUUUCAUAUGCUAUGAAUCUCUUUAGGGCCAGAUUCUUCUUUUUAAGGAAAAAGGUUCACACAAACCUUCAGUUUUUUACGCUUCCCUAAUCGUACUGUUCAAGUGACAAAUCUCCUCCCAAUCACUAUCAGAUUAACAGCAAGACAGACACUCACUGAAGACACUCCUCAACUGUAAAAAGUCAAAAUGUCUCUUUAUUUUGUCCCCUCCUCCUAUAACCACUUGCCCAUUUUUAACGAAUUUGUGGUUGAGAUAGUAAUAGUUCUUAUCAAAUGAGUCUAUAAAAGUAAGAAAUCUUAAAUGAGAAAAUGUAAUGGAAAGAGUAUGCUGAAAAGGAUUUAAGAAGUACAAGAGAAAAAUUGUAAAGACACAUGCUUGUUGCAGGGGCAUUUACUAAUAUGUCUUCGUCAUAUGGUCAGCACCCUAACAUCACCACCACCUUCACAGGCAUCCCAUCAGGAUCUCUGCAUGCUGGUCCAUGCUAGAAUUCUGAUGGAAUGUCAAAGGCAGAGGCAGCUAGAGGCACAGUUCUUCCUAAGGUCUUACCAUUCCCACACAUGGUCUACAUGUGUGUGUUGUUUCUUGACUGCGUGUGAGGCUGUUCCCUAUGUAAGUGAGCAGUAGCAGACAUGAAGACAGACCCUAUAAUCAUGACCUCCAUCACACGUGCUGUCUCAGGGCCACCACACGGCACCCCCCACCAUCCAGGUGAAGCCAAUGCCAGAUUGCACAGCUCACAGCAUACUUGGCCACUGUGCAAGUUUGCAUUAACUCCAUAUGCCUCAUCUCACUGAAUAAAACACACGGUACAGAGACCGGUAUGUCAUGUCUUUGCAUUUCCGUCUUCCUCCCAGAGUAAUAUAAGCUCCUUGAGGGUAAUUUCUCUCCCUUAUGGCCCUAGAACCUAGCUCAGGCUUUUGCAACGAAUGUUGAACAAGGUAUUAUUCAUAUCAUUCACUCUUCCCUUUGAAGCAAAAGAAUUUCUUACUCUUCCUUUCCAUGUCUAAUGGAAAGACUUAGUCCUAACUGAGUUAAAUGAAUAAGGGAUGAAAAAAUAAAUGCAUGUGUGAGCAUUUCACUGGGACUGCACAUUCUAACUCAUAGAAAUAAUUAUUUGUAGUAAUUUUUAGAAUGUUGCUCCAGUGCUUAACCCAGUCUGUGUAGUUAAUCAGAAUUUUUGUCUUAUCUCACCAGCUUAGGGUAUAAACACCCAGAAGCUGCAGUUUUGUUUCUCAGGACAGAGUCCAUAGCACCAGGCCUUUGAUGGGAUCAUAGCUAUUUGUUGCUUUGCUUCAUCUUGAUUUGAUUUGAUUUAAAUUUCCCAGAAAUGCUUUAUUCCAAGCAGUCAAACAAAAUGUCAUGACUAUUCCAGACACAAGUAGACAAAUAUCUUAAAAGGCUCCGUUUUACAGUCAGAAGGCUGUAACCUUAUCUAAAUUCUCCAGCAUUACCUACAUCCCAUCCACACGCUGCCUAUUUCAAAAUAUCCAAUAAACAGAGAAAAUUAUUGAGGAAAUUGUUCUGAGGGAAAACACUAGGGCUAGCUGAUUGAAUUACUUUCUUUUAGAUUGUUCUGUGUAUAAGAAUGUCACCAAAGAAAUGAAAUCGGCUUUCCUGAUUUUAUGUGAUAAGCAGUGAUAAGCACCUGUAGGGUAUACAUCAGGUUACCUUCUCUCUGUUGUCAACCAUGCUGAUGGCAACAGAUAAGAUGCUUUAUUAUAAUACCCAGGAGAUGGAAACAGGUCCAGUUUGGGGUCAGUUUUAAGUGACUUGUUGGGCACACUUCAGUAUUUGUGAAUUUGCUGAUCGGGUUUGUGGAUAUUCAUUCCUAAUACAAUUCAAUCUCACCACCAAAAUUGGCUUAAUGGAAUGGUUUCUGAUAUUUAUUUCAGGAGGUAAUUUUGAACCAUUAAAGUUGUGAAAGCCACUUUUCCUCGUGAGUCAGCAGAGUUUAUAAUGUGUACUUAAAAGGGGAUAAUUAAGGACCAGGCAGCCUCUUGAUUGUUUGCAGAGCUUCCAAAAUUUUAUUCUGAUGAACAACUGUUAUUUCAGUCUACUCAUUUGUGGAAUAGGAACUAAUUGUUUAGCCUCAUCUGUGGUGUUUCUGAGGAAGAAGAAACUAGACAAUGCUGAUUUGAUUAAUCCUUGUAUAUUUACACAGGGAGAUAAAAUAUGCUAUUAACUUUGAACUUUUGAUAUUUGAGUUGUGCACUUAAUAUUUUAUCCAGAUGGCACAGGUUUAUAUCAGACCAACCCUAAUUAUCUAAUACUGAAUGGUAAGAAAAGAGGAUUCAAAGUGAUACAGAAAAUGUGUUUCACAAAAGUAAAGAGGGGGGUUGGUUCCUUCCAGUUUAAUAUUUACAUUUGGAAAAAGGAGUUUGAAAGUUAACAUUCUUUUGGUAAAACAUAAAUUAAGAUUUCUUAGUUUUCAAGUAUUUAAAGUUUUAGAAAAUAUAAAUUCUCAAAAUAUUCAAGAACAUCUUGAGCACUAUUUUUCUAGUUCUCUGUUAAAUAUAUCUCAACAUACAACUACUUAAAAUGUCUUCCAUUAAUCUUCCUUCUGGAACUAGCAUGAAGAUUUAGCUCAAGAUAGCUUUUAAAUAACUUCAGUAUAACACUCUGUUCUGCAUAUGUACGCAUGACAUCAUUUGAUUAUGCCCAUUUUUCCUAUUUCAAGUCAUAUCGUGACAUAUGUAUAACCUAAAAUAUUAACCCUGCUCUCAUCUGUAUUUUAUUAAAAUACCAAUUUAUUCACCAACAUAAUUGCUUUUGGAUAUUUGAGCAUAAUUCACUGCUAAUUUGCAUGGCUCAUUUAGUGGGGUAAUUUUCUGUCAAGUAUGGAGUGAAAUCAGUGAUAAUAUAAAAAGAUUGUUUUAAGACAUAUAAAGUCCUUUAAAGAAAUGACAGUUUAAACCAUCUCUCCCUUUGCUCCUGUUUGGUACUCAUCCAUUCCAAGUUUGCCAAAGCCCCUUCUCUGUGGUGGGUCAUUACUAUUUAUAGCCAGACUGCUACUUUAAAUAGUGAACACAUUUAAAAAUCAAUAGGAAAUCUGAAGCCUUGUUCCCUAAAAGCUCAAGCAGAUAGAGAUCAUGCUGACUUUUCCUUAUACGUUACGGAAUAUAUUGUCAGCUCUGCUUCAUCUAGGCUCUCAAAUAUUGAACAAAAAAGGUAAUGAAUGUAUUUUAUUUAUCUGAAAACUAAGUUUAAAAAUCUUCCUUAACAUACGUUACAUUUGAAAGAGAAAAGUAAUGGUGAUUUGUUAUUAAAAUGUUGAUCCUGCCAACAUUCUGAUGCCCAGAAAAAGUCCUGUGACUGGCACAUGUACAAGGCAAGCCUAGUUGUCUCCUGAGAAUCAGUGGGCUUAAAGGGACUCUUCCUGAUCAAGGAAGUCCGGCCCAACUUUUCUUAUGAAUGCCCACAAGCAGUGUGUUUUCUCAACUGUGUCUUUGAUGAGAAAUGAGAAACACUGGACAGUCGGGGCAGAAAGGUCUUGGAAGAUGAAAUAGGGCUCCGUGAUACUGGAUCACAAGUGAUUAUGCUUAACCUGAUUCCCACAGAUCUGAGAAAAUGAGGGGCCAGGCUGGGGGACAAGAUCUGGAGCCACAGAAAGCCAUCAUGCAGAAGCGACAGUACAGAGGAUCACGGGCAAGGUAGAGGAUGAGGCUGGUGACAGGGCAGGACUAGGCCCUCUGGAAUUGGGGUCUGGAAGGGAGCUGGCAAGCUGGCAUCCAUGGCUGCUGUGGGUGGUAAUGGGGGGGUGACCAGAAGGCCCAUAGGAUGGAGUUCUAUAAGGCACAGGGCCUUAAGGCCGUGGGAAUGGAACAAUGUCAUGUGAAUGUCGGGUUCACUGUUUCUGGCCCAACCUUUGUACAAGAUGAUUUCAGGCAGCUCGGGUCCACAUAUGCCCACUCACUAGAGAAGAAAUACCAAGAGAAAGACACCCUCCCAAAUAUUAACCUCCCAAAGUCAAACCAGGGAAUGAUCCCAAUGUCAGGGCAAAAAAGAGUGAGGCUUAUCUGCUCUGCAGGGCGGAUGGACCACCUGCCUCUCUCCAGUGCCCUCUGCACAUGUUUAUAAUCCAUCCUGACCUGUUUCUCACUGGCGACGACUGAGUCCUUCUCAACAUAAUGCUUCAGGCCUGUGGUUCUCAAACUUCACUUUCCCCUGGAGUCACAUGGAGGCUCCCAGGUGAAGUGGCUGCUGCUAGUGGGGUGGAGGUGUGAGGAAUCUCUUUCUGAGAAUCACUCCAUAAGGCAAUGGUCUCCUGAUGGCCAGGUGAGCAUGAAGGGUGACACCUUUCUUCAUGGAGGAUUUUCCGCUAUUCAGAGCAUCCCAAAUCUGUCUUCAUUCAGAAGAGCAGGACCGGGAGGAAGGCUCACGGGCUUAAGGCCUACAUAGGGAUGGUGAGACCUCCCACACCUGGGAGGUUGUGACAAAGGUCCUUGAAUGUGUCUAGCAAGUGGCCAGUCCACUUGGAGGCCUGCCUGCAGAACUGCUACAGGAGCAAGAUUGUCCAUUCCUUCAACAAACCCUAUCUGAGCACCUACUAUGCACCAAGCAGAAAUCAGACAGAACCCCUGCCUUCAAGGAGCUCAUGUUGUACAGAAGACAGAUUUAAAAAUUAAAUAGCAAUGCACAUACACAUGUAUACGGGCCUAUAUGCAUGUAUAGGUGUGGUGUGUAUAUGUAUAAAAUCAUGGUGUGUGUAUGUGUGUAUAGCUGUAGAGAUCUACAUAUCUACAUGUAAUCUAUAUAGCUUAUAUUUAUCUAUCUAUCCAUCCAUCUAUCUAAAAUCAGGUCCUAAUAAGUUUCUUUGGAGGAAACUGAAGAAGAAAAGGAAUUGGAAACUAUUCCAUCUAGAAUGGAUAGACAAUAAGGACCUUUUGUACAGCACAGGGAACUAUAUCCAAUCUCCCAGUUUAGACCAUGAUAGAAAAUAAUAUUUAAAAAAGAAUGUGUAUAUAUACAUAUAUAUGACUGAGUCACUUUGCCGUAUGGCAGAAAUUAGCACUUCUACUGUAUAGCAGAAAUUAGCACAUUAAAUCAACUAUACUUUAGUAAAC